GCUAAUUUUUGUAUUUUUAGUAGAAAUGGGUUUCACCAUGUUGGCCAGGAUAGUCUCGGUCUCUUGACCUGGUGAUCCGCCCGCCUCAGCCUCCCACAGUGCUGGGAUUACAGCCGUGAGCCACUGCGCCCGGCCCUUUUUUUUUUUUUUUUUUGGUAGAGAUGUGGUCUUGCUUUGCUGCCUAGGCUGGUCUUGAACUCCUGGCUUCAAGCAAUCCCACUGCCUUGGCCUCACAAAGUGCUGGGAUUAUAGCCAUGAGCACCUGGCUACCGCAAAUUGUUUAUCCAUUUGUCUGUAGAGGGACAUUUGUGAUGUUUCCACCUUUUGGCUAUUGUGAAUGGUGCUACAGUGAACAUUUUGCACAAGUAUUUAUACUUGCUUGAAUACCUGUUUUCUUUUUUUCUUUUGAGACAGGGUCUUUGUUGCCCAGGCUGGAGUGCAGUGGCCUGAUCACAGUUCACUGUAACCUCAAACUCCUGUGCCCAAGUGAUCAUCCCAUCUCAGCCUCCUGAAUAGCUGGGACUACAGACACCCACCACCAUGCCUGGCUAAUUUUUUUUUAAAUUUGUAUUUAUUAUUACUAUUAUUAUUUUAUUUUUUUAGAGAUGGUAUCUCACUGUGUUGCCCAGGCUGGUUUCAAACUCGGCUCAAGUAAGCCUCCUGCCUCAGCCUCCUAAAGUGCUGGAAUUACAGGCAUGAGCCACUGCUCCUGGCCUUUUUAAUUUAUAAAGAAAUUUUGUUUUUGUCCAGGCUGGCCUGAACUUAAUGGGCUCAAGUGAUGUUCCUGUCUCAGACUCUUGAGUAGCUGAGACUACAGGUACAUGCCAUCAUGUCUGGCUAAGUUUUUAAUUUUGAUGAAAUCUGAUUUAUCUAUUUUUUUCUUUUGCUGCUUAUACUUUUGGUGUCAUAUUUAAGAAUGAAGCCGGGCACGGUGGCUCAUGCCUGUAAUCCCAGCACUUUGGGAGGCCGAGGCAGGCAGAUCACCUGAAGUCAGGAGUUCAAGAUCAGCCUUGCCAACAUGGUGAAACCCCGUCUCUACCAAAUAUGUACAAAAUUAGCCAGGUGUGGUGGCAUGCGCCUGUAGUUCCAGCUACUCAGGAGGUUGAGGCACGAGAAUCGCUUGAACCCAGGAGGUGGAGGUUGCGGUGAGCUGAAAUUGCGCCACUGUACUCCAGCUCAGGCAACAGAGCGAGACUCUGUCUCAAAGAAAAAACAAAGAAUGAAUCAACUGCCAAUUGAAAGAAAGCUGGAGUGACAAAAAAAAAAGGGAAAGAAAAGAAAAAAUUAACUGCCAAAUUCAAAGUCAUGAAGAUUUACCCCUAUGUUUUCUCCUAAGUUUUAUGAUUUAACUCUUUGGUCCAUUUUGAGUUAAUUUUAUAUAUGGUGUGAAUGGGGGCCCAGCUUCCUUCCCUUGCAUGUGGAUGUCCAGUUGUUGCAGCAUCACUUGUUGAAGAGACUAUCCUUUCCCCAUUGAGUGGUCCUGGCACCCUUGUUGAAAAUUAAUUGGCCAUAGACAUAUGGGUUUAUUUCUGGACUCUCAAUUCUAUUUUGUUGGUCUAUAUGUCUAUUUAUAUGCCAGUUACACAUUAUUUUGAUUACUGUAGCUUUGUAGUAAGUUUUGAAAUUGGGAAGUGUGAGUUACCCAACUUUGUUCUUUUUCAAGGUUGUUUUGGCUUUUCUGGAUCCCUGGUUAAUUCCAUAUGAAUUUGAAGGUGUUUAACUUUCUUUGGGUUAUAUUUGUACAAAUAUGUUAUUAAUAUAUAUGUUUCAAAAUCGUCUGAAAUUCCUAAAAUUUUGAUAUGUCUUAAUAAAUGUUAUCAAUAAUAAUUACGGUUAUUAUGUUAAAUUGUUAUAUGCUACAGAAAUAUUAUUUCUCAAUUGUGUCAUUAACCAUGGCUAGAAUAGUCAAACCAAAAGUCUUUUGUCAUCCACAGACAAUUAUUGUUUUACUUUGAUUCUUCUCAAAAAGUGGUUUAUGGUUGGGGCAUGGUGGCUCACACCUGUAAUCCCAGAACUUUGGGAGGCUGAGGUGGGAGGAUUGCUUGAACUUAGCAGUUUGAAACCAGUCUGGGCAACAGAGCAAGACUCUGUCUCAAAAAAAAAAAAAAAGAGAGAGAGAGAAAUGAUAAAAGAAAAUAACUUUUAUCUGAGGAAUGCCAGUACUUUUAAUUAUGAGGCCCUGAGAUACAUUAAAAUGAGACAAUAGACCGG
rnacentral:lncRNA from 10 species